AAUACCGCAUAAGCCCACAGCUCGGCAUCGAGCAGAGGGAAAAGGAGUGAUCCGCUUUGAGAUGGCCUCGCGUCCGAUUAGCUAGUUGGUGAGGUAACGGCCCACCAAGGCGACGAUCGGUAGCCGGACUGAGAGGUUGAACGGCCACAUUGGGACUGAGACACGGCCCAGACUCCUACGGGAGGCAGCAGUGGGGAAUAUUGCACAAUGGGGGGAACCCUGAUGCAGCGACGCCGCGUGGAGGAAGAAGGUCUUCGGAUUGUAAACUCCUGUUGUUGAGGAAGAUAAUG
rnacentral:rRNA from 1 species